rnacentral:rRNA from 1 species
CCUACGGGUGGCAGCAGUGGGGAAUAUUGCACAAUGGGGGAAACCCUGAUGCAGCGACGCCGCGUGAGCGAUGAAGUAUUUCGGUAUGUAAAGCUCUAUCAGCAGGGAAGAAACUGACGGUACCUGACUAAGAAGCCCCGGCCAACUACGUGGCAGCAGCCGCGGUAAUGCCUAGGGGGGAAGCGUUAUUCGGAUUUAUUGGGUGUAAAGGGAGGGUAGAGGGGUCUGCAAGGCAGAUGUGAAAGCCCGGGGGUCAACCCCCGGACUGCAUUUGAAACUGUAGUGCUAGAGUGUCGGAGAGGUAGGCGGAAUGCGUAGUGUAGCGGUGAAAUGCGUAGAUAUUAGGAGGAACACCAGUGGCGAAGGCGGCCUGCUGGACGCUGACUGACGUUGAGGCUCGAAAGCGUGGGGAGCGAACAGGAUUAGAUACCCGUGUAGUC